UCUAAGCUAAAUGAACCUGAAG
rnacentral:miRNA from 1 species